UUGCCCUUUAAAAUAGCAAUCGAAUAAAAAGGUAGAUAUUGUAUGCUGGCCGAUAUUGAGAGUAUCGGAAUAUUGGAUAUCGAGUUUUUUUGUUUUAUCAAAAUCGAUAUUUGACUAUAGUGCAAGUAUCUCUGAAAUAAAGAAAAAGUAUUUAAAAUAUCGAUCAAUUAAUUUCAUCAACAACUCACGGUUUUCAGAUAUCGGAUCGGGCAUCGGCUUU